rnacentral:rRNA from 1 species
UACGAGGGGAGCAAGCGUUGUUCGGAUUUACUGGGCGUAAAGGGCGCGUAGGCGGCGUGACUAGUCACUUGUGAAAUCUCCGGGCUUAACUCGGAACGGUCAAGUGAUACUGUCGUGCUAGAGUACAGAAGGGGCAACUGGAAUUCUCGGUGUAGCGGUGAAAUGCGUAGAUAUCGAGAGGAACACCCGUGGCGAAGGCGGGUUGCUGGGCUGAUACUGACGCUGAUGCGCGAAAGCCAGGGGAGCGAACGGG